UUUAACUUGGCAGAUAAAUGCAAUUAAUUUAGAAUUAAUUUAUAUCCUUAGGAUUGUUGGUA
rnacentral:tRNA from 1 species